UUGCAAAGAACUUUGAAGAGAGAGUUCAAGAGUACGUGAAACUGCUGAGAGGCAAACUGGUGGGCCCUCGAAAUCCCGUCUGCGGGGAGAUUCAGUCGGGUGUCGGCGGCCGUCUCGCAAUGGGUCUGUCGCAACCGAAGAUCGGGGCGCAUUCCGAGAGGCGAGUUCGCCGGAACCCGACGCAUUUCCCGCCCGCACGAAAGGACGCCGCAGCCGGUCGGGUAGCUGCGCGUGUCGGCCAUGAGGACGUUGCGACGGCAGGUGACCGGCGGCCCUAGGCUUCUCCGGAGGCACUAACGGUCGACGGUUGAUUAGCCGGCUCGUCCGUGGCGCGACACCCGACCGAGGUAACACGGACUUCGGAGUUCUUCUCUCCACGGAGAGAAACUCCCGCAAUCCACUACUUUCAAUAAAGAGAGAGCGAGCCGUCGGACAGGCGCGUUCCUGCGUGGUCGGACAGUCACCGCACUGGUCGAUCUGGUGGGAGCGCGUCGUUGGUUUCCGAGUCGGGAUCUCGCGGAGGAUGAAGGCUGGCGGCGAGUAGGUCGGUAACCCACCCGACCCGUCUUGAAACACGGACCAAGGAGUCUAACAUGUGCGCGAGUCGCGGGGUCUUGUUCAGGCCCAGAGGCGCAAUGAAAGUGAAGGCCGCCGCUCCUUCCCCUCGGGGUCGGAGUGAGGCGGCCCGGUUGGGACUCGCACGUGACACGGCACGUGAACGAAGCACCAACGACCCGCCCUGUUCUAUCUCCUGGAUAGGAACUCAAACGGAGUUCGAGCGCACACGUUGGGACCCGAAAGAUGGUGAACUAUGCCUGGGCAGGACGAAGCCAGAGGAAACUCUGGUGGAGGUCCGCAGCGGUUCUGACGU
rnacentral:rRNA from 1 species